UAGAAAUGAAGGGAGACACAUCUGCAAAGCAAGGAAGCACAUUCCAAGAAAUACCACAUUCUAGUCCCUGCUCUGAAUUUACCAAAGAUGACUUUGAAACAGACUCUCUUAUAUGGCAGGUAUCCUGAGAGAAUAAUUGGGCACUUCAAUAUGGCUCUGUUUUGGAGAUAUGUGGAAGGCCAGAGCUUAAAUUAGCAUCUGUUAGCUACGAAAUACAAAAAGACUGCUCAGUGUUACCCUACUCUGGUGAGACUGGGAGUGAAAGGGAUGGGCAGAAGCAUCUUGGCAGUAGGACCACAUGUGGAUUUUCAGUCAUUACAAAGUGAAGAGGCCAUUUUUUGCAUCCUCUAUUGGGUUGUGCCGGUGAAGAGCCACAGAGACACACUGAUGAGCCCAAGUGCUUGAGUCCCGGGUCCGGCUGCAGGCAGGGUGAGCCAGCGGCGCCUGCGAGAGGCUGUCCGAACGGGGCAACACACAGUGACUCUUCCACACAGUGUUCUUCUCGUGCCCCAUCACUUGCAGUUCAGGCACUGCCUAAUCCAGAGGUACUGUCUACACACCAAUUUUUAGGGCAAAGAGCAUGAGUGGGACAGGACAUUCUUCUUUCAAUCUUUUCUACUUCUCAUGGAUUUCUCCUAAGAAACUUCAGUGCAAGAGGAGCCUUGCCACAAUCUGGCAGCGUCACUGCUACAGGACUGAGCUUGAAGACAGCCCUGCUUUUUAUCCAGUGCUUUUCCACAAGGAUGUUUCAGGUGGCUAAUGAAAAUAUCAAGUAGAUGUGGCUCAGGACAUAUCCUCCUGUGACACCACUUGAAACACCAUUUUGACAGGGAGCUUGUGAGAGCAGCUUUUCAACGGUCUGUGUGUCCACCUGCCUGUGCUUCCAUCAGGACCAUGCAUCAAGUGGGACAGUGUCAGAAGUUUUAUUACACAAGCCAAGUUCUGCUUCCCCCUCAUCCCUUAGAGCAGUGCCUGUCACAUAUGGAAAUACAUUUGUUUUGACAUUGCUUUUUCUUGAUUGCUUUUUCUACUUCAUCCUCUAAGUACUUACAAAUAGCUGGUGUAAUAUUUUCUUCUAGAAAUAGAAGUUUGUUAGUGGAAGACCAGUUUGUCUUGAUUUUUAUCAUUUAUCCAUUUGUCGUGGACAAAAAGGGUAAAACCAGCAGAUUAGGUAAAUGUUCUCCCCGUGUUCUUCACCUUAUUAGAUCUGCUAAAAUCUAGUCACAAUAACUAUCAGUUUUGCAUGCCAGUCAGAUCUAUUUCAGCAUAGCUGACCUUUACUUUGAAUUAGUACUUUUCUCUUUUACAUAUAAAUCAAUACAUGUUGACAUGGUUCACUAAUGAAUUACGGAGGAAGCAUAUGAUUAAAAUCAAAAUCAAAUAUUGUCAAUAUUUUUAGAGCUUGAAUAUGACUUACCUCAUAAAUUGAACUUUCUGGAAUGUAGUCAUUUCAGUUAAGCUUUCAUCAAGAAAAAAAAUCUCAGCUGUAGGAUGAAAUCUAUACUGAAAACAAAAAUGAGAAUGAGGGAAAGAGAGGGAAUUAUAAUGCAUUCGGAACAUUAUCCCUGUUCUGUCUGUUUCAGCUCUGAGAUUUAAACAGCACAAGGCAAAAUUUGAUCUUCUCUGGGGGAUUUUGCUAUCUUUUUUGUUUCAUGCAGAAUUAAUUUUUGGUUUUGUUUUUCACUUACCUUGAAAGUGGACUGGAAAGACUGCUGGGCCACAGACAAUACAAGCCCAAACCUAACAAAGUACAAACAUCAUUAAAAGAUAGAAAAAAGGAAGACUAUGAGAAGUGAGUAUGUUCAAUUCUAUCUGUAUUUGUUCUUUCAGCUCAAGAUGAAAUCAUGUGCACCAGAAAAAUCUAUAUCAAAACCAUCCAUGUGGAUCAAAAGCAACGAGAUCUGAAAAAACUUACCCAUUAUAUAUACAGAAAAUUAAUAACCCCCUGAGCCAAGUUUCAGCUAAGCAGUGACAGGGUACAUAAGCCAAAGCACCAUCAGGCACAUCUUUUUCUUAUGAAAUAUCCAACAAAGCUUCAAUCACGUCAUCUCUGAACUUUGCACUUUGAUUGAAUCUGUUCUUUAAUUAGUGAUCAGACAUUCAGUGAAGACAUGGCUGCAGUUAUUUACUGUCUGAUUGCUGCCUGUGUGCUCAGUCUUACCAUUCAGCUGAUAAACCAUAUCCCAUGAGUGGUCCGCCUUCAUGUCAGUGCCAAGUCAGCCAGCUUCCCUUAAAUCACUGGUAAAAGUAUGUUACUGAGUGUUUUCUAUGUUUGCAGUUGGAAGGCAUGAGACUUCAAAAAACCCAACAAACUUCUUUUGUCUUUUAAAACGUAGGAGCUCAUAUGAUUAUAUUGGUGCCAGUGGUGAGUUAGGAAAUGUUCUCUCUCUUAGAUUUCACCUGCGGAUCACGAUUUCGAGAGCUUUAUGAACUUUUCAAAAAGACACUUCCUCUUCUAGGCACUCCAUUGGCAUGAUCAGCUUUGUAACUGGAGCUUCUUCGGAAGCUUAGUCUUGUGAGGGCACAGAGAGGGGAAAUCAUAUCAUUCCUCCUUUAGUUUUCUCUCUGCAGCAGAGAAUACCGAGCAGGUGCUCAAAAGGAGAGCACAGCCUUCCCAAUUACCCAACUCUGAGCAUGAGCAACAGCUCUUGGUAUUUCCUGGCCCUCUCUGUCCCCUGGAGACACUUUUGCCUUAUCUGGAGGUGGGCUCUGUAGAGAGAGAAAGAAUCCAAAAUUUUUAGUAGGAAUGGUUCCCAAGAAAAACUGGGAAAUACAGCAUUGACAACAGUAUGCCUCCUUUGUGAUUUAGCAAGAAGGCCAUGGGCCCUGUUUUCAUCCAUUUCCAGCAGAAAACAUGACAUUUUGCUUUUUCAUUCAAGUAAUGCAGUUUGCUGUCUGCUUACCGCAGAGUUCUUAUGAGCUCACUGCAGCAUAAAUCUUCCUUUAGCUGGUUAUCUUAGAUAAAGUAAUAAUAUUUUAGAACUGCUUUAAAACUAUGGUCAAAAUACUGGUUGCACCUAUUUUUAUCAGGCAGUUCCCUCAGAAAAGUUGUGCUUUAGGGCUUCAGGAUAGCCGGCAAAUUUGUAACUGGAAAAUGCUUUGCCAGUUAUCCCAAAAGAGGCUAUGAGCAACACAGUUUUUGAGAACAGCUUGUGUGAUUUCAUGGGACACCAUGCUGUCUUGGUGGAAGUCAGCAGCCAGCACCAACUCCCUGGAAGGAACCUAGCACUGUUCAAUCAGAUAAUGCUCCACAGUGACACUUCCUCAAUGUAAGUUCAGUUUGAAAGAUGAAACUUCAGUGUCCCCAAACCAAGCCAAUGACUAGUGCCUUAUACCCAGUCUCUUUCAAGCUACACUUCUCACCAAAGGAGUAUGUUGCUCUCUGGAGUAGAAAGCACUAUGCUGUAGAUGUUUGAACCUUAUCAUCACGAACAGGAGCUUAUCUGUGAAGGAAUAUCAUGUGGCAAUAGUGUGGUAUGGGAAGAGAGAGACAUUCAGCCUUUGUGACAACUCUUCAGAUUACUGACUAUGGCAUAAAAGCCUGCUUCUCUCCCUUUGCUGAUAUAGACAGGCUUGAGGUUAUUCAGUUUAUCCUGUAACAGAGGAAUGACAAUAUUAGGUCAGACCUGAUCCAAUCCAAUGUCCUUUCUCCAGCAACAAAGAGAUGUGGAAUAAUCUCCACUAUCAGUAUGAGGUUGUCUUCUUAACCCUCAUGUUAGAGAUGUCAGCCUGAUGUGCAAUCACCAUUACAUUUCACCUUUUAUUAGCAUUUACUGUAGCUGUUACAGUAUUAUUAGUCAUGUCAAUAUUCCAGUCCUUUUUGAACCUUUAUGGCACCUUGUCUUUUCAUUGGCUGUUCCUAGGAUCAGCUGUGGUAUAUGUUAGUAGAGGAAGAGAUGGGGCAUUUGGACCAGAUGCAUGCAAGAGAGAUGAGAAGAAUUUGUCAGCAACAAAGUAAAGGUUACCUUGUCCAAUCCAGAAACAAGUGGGAAAUUUGAUUCCCUCUAAAGAACAUAUCAGAUAUUUCCAGCUCAAAAUGGGUCACAAGAAGAUGCAGUUUGUUUUUAAGCCUGUUCCAGCUCAUCCCGAUUGUUGGACUGAACAGAACUUGCCCACAGGCAAAGAUUUCUUCAUCUAUACAACCUUCAGGUCCAGGUCAAAUUACAAGUUAAGUGCAGGUUUAACUAACCAGUUUCCAUAGCAAAAUACUGAAAGUGCCAUAGAACUGUCCUGCAUGGGGAAUGUCUCAGGCCUUCAUUGUGGCUUCUGUGGUCUUCUCUUAUUAGAGACAUCACCUUGCUUAAAAGAGGACUGUACAAAAACGUGGAUCUGUGACACUAGAGAAUAUGUUAUCUGUGAUCUACCCGUAAAUUUUGUUCAGCUGUGGCAAUGUGGAUCAUAAAGCACAGAACAAAGUGAAUACGCAUGUGCAUUAUCACUCAAAACUAGAACAGUAUGUUCACAUAGAGUAUGUAAAAUGCAGCACUGCUAUCUAUCAAAAAGAUGCUAAUGUUCCAGUCUGAAAUAGGAAACUGAAAAGGUCGCAAGGACCACAUGAACUGUGAAUAUGUGUGCAGCAGAGGUUGUGAAAAAAGGCUGUGACUAAAGUUAAGUGAAAAGCAAUUUUCAACAGACAAAAGAAUCAAGAGACAGAAGGUAAAUAAAUGUUUAAUGUUCUGGUCACCAUUAGCUUGGAGUCUCUGAUAGCAGUGCAGCUUUGCCUUCCCACUGAAUUCAUCCUUUCCACGUUAUUUUUCUUUAGGUUGUAUUGGUUACAUCCCCCUGUCCCAAAGAAGAUUUCACUUUAGGCAUUCAGCUUCAGUCAUGGUCUUCAGAUCUCUUAUGCCCACGGGCCAGUUCUGUUACAGUUAUUUUCAUCAUUUCACCUGACGUUAGCCUAUUUCCACAGUUCUGCCUUCAAAGAUAGCCAAAAAAGGAGUACCUCCAGAGAUAAUAAGGGGGAAUAUCCUCUUUUCCCUUUUUGAAAUCAUGCCUCUUCAAAGACAAUUCAAGAUUACUUCUGCUUUUUUGCAGCAUGCGAUAUUGAUGUUACCCAUUACUCUCAAAGUUAGUUUUGAGGAGCUGGCCUGUCAGGUUCCUCCCUUUUUGGACUGUGUGCAUUUCUGUAUGCUUUGUUAUUCCUUGCUAGGCUACAGUCUUCCAAGAUUAAUACAACUUUUUGUAAUUUAUGAUACAUGAGUCUAAGCUUCAUAGAUUUCCCUACAUACAUUUGCUUUAUAGCAUUUGCCAGUUAAUUCAUCUGUGAACUUGAUUAAUAAAUACAUCAUCGUGUGCUCCAUGCAGUUCAGUUUGUUCACCUGACAAGAAGAGAGGGAAAGAUGGGACUUGCACUGAAAGUUAUAGUCUCACUGUAUGCAGCAGCCCUGCUUUAUAACUGCAGUCCUUAAUUUAAGUGUACCAGGGAGAUAAAAACAACACUAACAACAAAAAAACUCAACAAGAACAAAACUAUGUAAUAAGCACGUUGAUGAACUUAACAUGCAACAUCACAGAUCAAAAAACUUUUAAUUAAAGAUAAUAACAUUUCAAUUGCUGUCAGUAAUAUUUUAACUGCCUUUCUUCAAAAAGUUUGGGAACUAUUAGCUAGUUCAGUGAGUUUGAUUUUCCUAUAGCCCUACUCAUCAAGGAAUUAGCACUUUCUCUUCAGGCCUUUAAUGCUACAUCUACUGUAUGACUAAUAAUGAAAAAUAUAUUAGGAUUUUGCCAGACUGAGUAUUACAAUGUACUCUCUGACUAAGGAGUUUUAGGACAUGAUCCUUACACUGUUUUAUUACUGAAGAAUUACAUCUUUCCAGAAAGCCAAGACCAUCAUCUUGUGAUUGCGAUUAAUCAAUCAAUCACCUGUAAGAAGCCUGGCAUUUGAAGCCAAAAACUACACAUUUGUAAAAUAGGAUUGAUUCAGUUCUCACUGCAUUUUUCCAUUUUUUUUUACAUUUAUCAUAAUAUUUGCUUUAGCAGGAAGAAACUUGGGCCAGAUCAAGUGGAUGAAAAAUUACUGGUCUCACUUGAUGAUUAUUAAUAUAAUUCUUUGUAUUCUGUGUAGAAGUGGGAUCAAAUUACAAAUGUUUUGGCACAGUUUGAAUCUGUAAUAGCUGUGUGAAGCUAGGAGCUUCAGAGGGCUUAAGGUACCUGAAACAGAAUUUAAGUGAACUUCAGGAGCCAAAAGCUAAAACUGCAACACAGCUAUAUCCCUGUUGCACUCCCAAAAUUCACUACUGCAAACUUGCCUGUUUGCAGUGAUCUCUGGCCAUUUCUGCACAUGCCUGGAAGUGCACACUUCACCUUUUCUAGCACCAAUACCAACAUCAGUAUCAGGAUGAUUUUCAGUUAACAUGGGCUUAACUUGGUUCGCAUAAUUUUAAAGUUUUCUUGCUUGCAACAGGUUGUUGAGCUUAUUUAAUCUUUUUGCACUGAUGAACAUGGCAUAAGGUUUACUAAUAAUUAAUCUCAGUUGCUUCAGAAAUAUGGCUUCUUACAUAUGGCUGCUUAGUGUGAUUAUAGUCUUCCAUGCAUUUCACCUUUGUUUCAGAUUUUCUUCCAGAUUGCUAAUAUGUUGCUCAUUUUGACAAAUCUAACCGCAUAGGGUCAAGAAUUGCAUAGAAAUAGAAAAUGAAAAAGAACUGCUAAAAUAUUCUGGGGAUAUUUUAUGAUUCAUCAUUUCAGACUAACAUUUUGUUAAUUCUGUUUAGGCCUAUGGUACCAUCAUUUUCUUCAGCACAAAAUGUAUUAGCUUUUGGACCAAGCAACUUAUCCAAUUUCCUUGACAUUAUAAAGAAUCACAGACUUUAUAAUGGAAAAACACAUUAUAGUGUGUCUCCUGUUCCUAGUCACUUCCUCCUAGUCCUUAGCUCAAGAUAGAAUCUAACAAUAAAGAAAGCCUUAAAUAUAGCAUUGAUACUUAUUUGAGUUUAGCCAAAAAAAUGUAAUUUAUUUAUCAAUGCAAAUAAUAAAAGAUUGAAACAAACUGAGCUGUCAAAUUCACAAGAGUAUAGCUAGAGCAAGAAC